UACGUAGGGUGCAAGCGUUGUCCGGAAUUAUUGGGCGUAAAGAGCUCGUAGGCGGUCUGUCGCGUCGAAUGUGAAAACCCGGGGCUCAACUCCGGGCCUGCAUUCGAUACGGGCAGACUAGAGUUCGGUAGGGGAGUCUGGAAUUCCUGGUGUAGCGGUGAAAUGCGUAGAUAUCGGAAGGAACACCAGUGGCGAAAGCGGCCACCUGGACUGAUACUGACACUGAGGUGCGAAAGCGUGGGGAGCAAACAGG
rnacentral:rRNA from 1 species